GACGAACGCUGGCGGCGUGCCUAAUACAUGCAAGUAGAACGCUGAGGGAGGAGCUUGCUUCUCUGGAUGAGUUGCGAACGGGUGAGUAACGCGUAGGUAACCUGCCUGGUAGCGGGGGAUAACUAUUGGAAACGAUAGCUAAUACCGCAUAAUAGCAGUUGUUGCAUGACAACUGUUUGAAAGGUGCAAUUGCACCACUACCAGAUGGACCUGCGUUGUAUUAGCUAGUUGGUGGGGUAACGGCUCACCAAGGCGACGAUACAUAGCCGACCUGAGAGGGGGAUCUGCCACACUGGGACAGGGGCACGACCCAGACUCCUACGGGAGGCAGCAGUAGGGAAUCUUCGGCAAUGGACGGAAGUCGGACCGAGCAACGCCGCGUGAGUGAAGAAGGUUUUCGGAUCGUAAAGCUCUGUUGUAAGAGAAGAACGAGUGUGAGAGUGGAAAGUUCACACUAUGACGGUAUCUUACCAGAAAGGGACGGCUAACUACGUG
rnacentral:rRNA from 1 species